UACGAAGGGGGCUAGCGUUGCUCGGAAUCACUGGGUGUAAAGCGCACGUAGGCGGAUUCUUAAGUCGGGGGUGAAAUCCUGGAGCUCAACUCCAGAACUGCCUUCGAUACUGGGAAUCUUGAGUUCGGGAGAGGUGAGUGGAACUGCGAGUGUAGAGGUGAAAUUCGUAGAUAUUCGCAAGAACACCAGUGGCGAAGGCGGACUCACUGGCCCGAUACUGAC
rnacentral:rRNA from 1 species